rnacentral:rRNA from 1 species
CGCCUUUUGACACCCUCAUAAAAGGUCCAGCCUGCCCAGUGACUUUGUUCAACGGCCGCGGUAUCCUAACCGUGCAAAGGUAGCGUAAUCACUUGUUUUUUAAAUAAAGACUAGUAUGAAAGGCAUCACGAGGAUAAAGCUGUCUCCUUUUUUUGAUCAGUGAAACUAAUCUUCCCGUGAAGAAGCGGGAAUAUUUUAAUAAGACGAAAAGACCCUAUGGAGCUUUAAACAUUAUAGCACCUGUCAAUCCACCUCCCCCACCUCAGACAUCAUUGACUAUAAGUUUUCGGUUGGGGCGACCACGGAGUAAAAUAAACCCUCCAAGUUGAUUAUACCCAUAAGCCCAGAGCCACAGCUCCAAGCAUUAAUAAAUUAACAUCAAUUGACCCAGUAUUCUGACCAACGAACCAAGUUACCCUAGGGAUAACAGCGCAAUCUACUUCAAGAGUCCCUAUCGACAAGUGGGUUUACGACCUCGAUGUUGGAUCAGGGUCUCCUAGUGGUGUAGCCGCUACUUUAGGUUCGUUUGUUCAACGAUUAAAACCCU